UCCUCGGUAGCUCAACAGGUAGAGCGGGUGGCUGUUAACCACUAGGUCGUAGGUUCGAAUCCUACCCGAGGAGCCA
rnacentral:tRNA from 1 species